rnacentral:rRNA from 1 species
GACAGAGGUGGCAAGCGUUGUUCGGAUUCAUUGGGUGUAAAGGGUGCGUAGGCGGUUUGGAAAGUCAGAUGUGAAAUACUACAGCUUAACUGUAGAACUGCAUUUGAAACUCCCAGGCUAGAGUAUGGAAGAGGUGAAGGGAAUUCCCGGUGUAAGGGUGAAAUCUGCAGAUAUCGGGAAGAACACCAGUAGCGAAGGCGCUUCACUGGUCCAUUACUGACGCUGAGUGCACGAAGGUGUGGGGAGCAAACGGG